GGCCAGAUAAGAGAAUAAAAGCAGGCUGCCCUAUGCUGCAGUGGUAACCGUUUUGGGGUCUCUUCUGCUAUGUGACAGAUGAGGAGAGCCAUUUAGGCCCUGGCAGGACCUGCCCAAGUGUCAGAUUUUCCACUUGCUCAUUUGUUUGGGCCCUGAGUAUGCUCCAUGGUUGCCAGCUGGGGAUGAGGUGCCCAUCACUGGAGGUGUUCAAGGGUAGCCAUCAAAGGAUUGGAUAAUGCCCUUCCACAUUGAGGAGGGUGAUCUUCUUUACUCAAUCUGCUGAUUCAAAUGCUAAUCUCUGCUGGAAACCCUCACAGUCAUACCCAGAAAGAAUGUUUGACCAGCUAUCUGGGCAUCCCUUAGCCCAGUCAAGUUGACACAUUAAAUUAGCCAUUGGACCAGUUUGAAAGCCCGCAUUAUUUACUGGUCAUGCAUUCAGCCUGCUGUGCUUUGCUGCAUGAGUCCAGGGGGUAGGCUGGGUACACAGGA
rnacentral:lncRNA from 1 species